UGGGGAAUAUUGCACAAUGGGGGAAACCCUGAUGCAGCGACGCCGCGUGGAGGAAGAAGUGUCUUCGGAUUGUAAACUCCUGUUGUUGAGGAAGAUAAUGACG
rnacentral:rRNA from 1 species